rnacentral:sRNA from 1 species
GCCAGGUAUGCUGGUGCAUGCCUGUAAUCCCAGUGACUUGGGAGAUGGAGGCAGGAGGAUUGCAAGUUCAAAGCCAGUCUCAGCAACUUAUAGAGGCCCUAAGCAACUCAGCAAGACCCUGUCUCUA